rnacentral:rRNA from 1 species
CGAUCAUGGCUCAGAUUGAACGCUGGCGGGAUGCUUACAUGCAAGUCGAACGGCAGCACGGACUUCGGUCUGGUGGCGAGUGGCGAACGGGUGAGUAAUGUAUCGGAACGUGCCUAGUAGCAGGGGAUAACUACGCGAAAGCGUAGCUAAUACCACUAUACGCCCUUCGGGGGAAAGCAGGGGACCUUGGGCCUCACCUAUCAGAACGGUCGAUAUCGGAUUAGCUAGUUGGUGGGGUAACGGCUCACCAAGGCGACGAUCCGUAGCUGGUUUGAGAGGACGACCAGCCACACUGGGACUGAGACACGGCCCAGACUCCUGCAGGAGGCAGCAGUGGGGAAUUUUGGACAAUGGGGAAACCUGAUCCAGCCAUCCCGCGUGUGCGAUGAGAAGGCCUUCCGGUUGUAAAGUACUUUUGGCAGGAAAGAAACGGCGCGGGAUAAUACCCCGUGCAACUGACGUACAGAAUAAGCACCGGCUAACGUGCCAACAGCCGCGGUAAUACGUAGGGUGCAAGCGUUAAUCCGGAAUUACUGGGCGUAAAGCGUGCGCAGGCGGUUCGGAAGAAAGAUGUCAAUCAAGAACACUUUGGAGCCAUUUUUUAACUACCGAACUAGAAGAGUGUGUCAGAGAGGAGGUGGAAUUCCGCGUGUAGCAGUGAAAUGCGUAGAUAUGCGGAGGAACACCGAUGGCAAUAACCUCCUGGAAGUUUACUGACGCUCAUGCACGAUAGCGUGGGAGCAAACAGGAUUAGAUACCCUGGUAAUCCACGCCCUAAACGGUCAUCCCAACUAGCUGUUGGGGCCUUCGGGCCUUGGUAGCGCAGCUAACGCGUAGAAGUUGACCGCCUGGGGAAUUACGGUGAGCAAGAUUAAAACUCGAGGAAUUGACAGGGACCCGCACAAGCGGUGGAUGAUGUGGAUUAAUUCCCGAUGCAACGCGAAAAACCUUACCUACGCCGACAUGUCUGGAAUCCCGAAGAGAUUUGGGAGUGCUCGAAGACCGGAACACAGGUGCUGCAUGGCUGUCGUCAGCUCGUGUCGUGAGAUGUUGGGUUCAGUCCCUGCUUGAGCGCAACCCUUGUCAUUAGUUGCUACGAAAGGGCACUCUAAUGGAACUGCCGGUGAUAAAACCGGAGGAAGGUGGAGUCGACGUCAAGUCCUCAUGGCCCUUAUGGGUAGGGCUUCACACGUCAUACAAUGGUCAGGACAGAGGGUCGCCAACCCGCGAGGGCAAUCCCAGAAACCCGAUCUAGUCCGGAUCGCAGUCACAAACUCGACUGCGUGAAGUCGAAUCGCUAGUAAUCGCGGAUCAGCAUGUCGCGGUGAAUACGUUCCCAGAUCUUGUACACACCGCCGUCACCAUGGGAGUGGGUUUCCAAGUAGUUAGCCUAACCGUAAGGAGGGGCGAUUACCACGGUAGGAUUCAUGACUGGGGGUGAAGUCGUAACAAAUUAAC